rnacentral:lncRNA from 1 species
AGUCCACCGAGGAGGAAGCCCCGAAACCCUAGGGUAUUGUUAUGAGUCUCACAAUACCCUUAGAAGAAGUUUUAUAAUGCUCAUCUCCACCCGAACCGUUUAUGUUUUAAGUCCUAGAACUCUGUCUAACACUGCACUAUUAAGUUUGCUUCAAACUAUGUCUUGUAUUAACUCGUACCUCUUGUAUGUAUGUAAAAAUGUAAUAUUUGUUG